ensembl:misc_RNA
AUAAUUAAAGAAUGUUACCUUUGAUGUCUCUUGAAAGCUGCAUCUCCUGCUCUG